UCGAAAUUUCGAAGAAAAUGUCAACCAUCAAAAAUUUCAGUUCAGAAUGAAAAUACCAUUUUACUCAAUUAUCGGACCACAUCUGAAACGCAACUACUAUUUCAUCCGACACUUCUGCAGUCACCCCUUUUUGUGCAUAUCGGAUUUUUACACCUUAAUUUUAGGAAUUCUAGGCGUGUUUUCAUCUUUCAGGUUUUCAGCGUUUUUGAUAUCGCCAUGAUUGUGCGUUGCGGACCGACUUUGCCAGGGUACCUAGUUAAGGCGCGAGGUGAUUUUGGAAAAGUUAUACAGCCGACGAUGGAAAGAGACCUCAAACUUAUUGCUUUACUAGUAUCAUUUGAAUACUAUCUUUUCUUGGUUAUUGGAGUUUUAUCCAAAAAUCCAGUAUUUUUUCUGCCAUUUUUAGUUCUUUACGCUUUUAUUAUAAUAAUGGAAAUUACAACGUUAUUUCUGCGGCUUUUUACUGAUGGCUUCAACUUUAACAAGAGCAGCUUAUUUACUUCAAUGUUUGUGGUCUACAAUUGGUUAUGCGUAUUUUGCUGUUUCUGGCACAAAAUGGAGUACUGUGACUAUUAAUUAUUAAGCACAAUACAAUUUACUAACCCAAUUAGAUUUGAACUACUGUUUUUAUGGUUUUACGUGGUUUAUAAUAUUAGACAAUUAGCGAAAUUACGUUCCAUACAACGUAUUUUAUGUUAACGUGCAAACCCCCUAUGUUUCUAUAGAUAUAACAGUUUUUUCUAGGUUUUGCGUGUUGUACGUUCUAUGGAACGUGGUUUCGCUAAUUGUCUAAUAAGUAGUUAGUUUUCGUCACUGCCAUUGGUUGGUAAAAUGUUAUAUUUUCUUCUUCCUUAGAGUUCUGAUAUUGGUUCUAGUACUACCUAUAGAUACCUAAAAAAGUUAGAUAAACGUUUUGUAUAUUCUGAAUAGCUAUGAUCUCUAGACCACAUGGACACAUAAUAGUGUACUUAUUUAAUGACCACAUAGUGUUGUUACGUUGAACGGUGAAUAAUCGGCGUAGGUUAAAACUCAACAAUGUAUUCCUUACUAACUCGAAUAUACACGACAACGAUUA